rnacentral:rRNA from 1 species
CCUACGGGAGGCAGCAGUGGGGAAUAUUGCGCAAUGGGCGAAAGCCUGACGCAGCGACGCCGCGUGAGGGAUGAAGGUCCUCGGAUCGUAAACCUCCGUCAGCAGGGAAGAACGGUCACUGUGCUAAUCAGCAGUGAAUUGACGGUACCUGCAAAGGAAGCACCGGCUAACUCCGUGCCAGCAGCCGCGGUAAUACGGAGGGUGCGUGCGUUAAUCGGAAUUACUGGGCGUAAAGCGCUCGUAGGCGGUAUGUCAAGUCAAGGGUGAAAUCCCCGCGCUCAACGUGGGAACUGCCUUUGAAACUGGCAGACUGGAGUGUGUGAGAGGAUAGUGGAAUUCCAGGUGUAGGAGUGAAAUCCGUAGAUAUCUGGAGGAACAUCAGUGGCGAAGGCGACUAUCUGGCACAUAACUGACGCUGAGGAGCGAAAGCGUGGGUAGCAAACAGGAUUAGAUACCCCAGUAGUC